rnacentral:rRNA from 1 species
AUUGAACGCUGGCGGCAGGCCUAACACAUGCAAGUCGAACGAGUGGCGGACGGGUGAGUAAUGUCUGGGAAACUGCCUGAUGGAGGGGGAUAACUACUGGAAACGGUAGCUAAUACCGCAUACCAUCAGAUGUGCCCAGAUGGGAUGAGCUGGUUGGGGGGGUAACGGCUCACCAAGGCGACGAUCCCUAGCUGGUCUGAGAGGAUGACCAGCAAAACUGGACUGGAGAAACGGUCCAGACUCAUACGGAAGGCAGCAGUGGGGAAUAUUGAACAAUGGGCGAAAGCCUGAGGCAGCCAUGCCGCGUGUAUGAAGAAGGCCUUCGGGUUGUAAAGUACUUUCAGCGGGGAGGCGUUACCCGCAGAAGAAGCACCGGCUAACUCCGUGCCAGCAGCCGCGGUAAUAC